rnacentral:misc_RNA from 1 species
UCCGGUUUGGCACCGGCAGUCUUCCUAGAGUCCCCGCCAUUACCCGCUGGCAACAUGGGACAGGGGUUGCGCUCGUUGCGCCACUUAAGGCAACACCUCACGGCACGAGCUGACGACAACCAUGCAACACCUGUGCGGGCUCCCGAAGGAGGACCGUAUUUCUACGGCUUCGCCCCGCAUGUCAAGCCCUGGUAAGGUUCUUCGCGUCGCGUCGAAUUAAGCCACAUGCUCCGCCGCUUGUGCGGGCCCCCGUCAAUUCCUUUGAGUUUUAGCCUUGCGGCCGUACUCCCCAGGCGGGGUGCUUAAUGCGUUAGCUUCGGCACAGAGCGGGUCAAUCGCCGCCCCACACCUAGCACCCAACGUUUACGGCUAGGACUAC